AAGAGUAUAGUUUAAUGGUAAAACAAGGAGCUUCAACCUCUUCGUUCUCUGUUCAAAUCAGAGUGCUCUUG